rnacentral:tRNA from 1 species
GUGGCUCAGUGGUUAAGAGCACUGGCUUGCACUACCAGAGGACCCGGGUUCAGUUCCCGGC